GGAAAUCAGCAAUGACAUUAUUGGUGGGAAGAACGGGAAAGACAGAACUGUGAGAGAUGAAUGUGUUUAUUCAUUUGGUAGACAAUCAUUUACUGAGUGUUAGUAUAUGUAUAUGUAUGUGUGUGUGUGUGUUCAUAUAAAUGAAACACAGUUCUUAACCUUGGGGAGAGGUACAUUAGCAAAUACUUUAUAAUCUAAUGUUGUGGUUACUAUGAUAAAUAAGGUUCUGGGGACACACAGAGGUGAGUGGUUGGAGGUCUGCCUAAUGGAAUCAGGGAAACGUCCAGUAGAGUUAAAAAGUAGAGGGGAGAUUGGCAGUGCAGGUGAUGGAGGGGAGGGUAUUUUGGACAGAGCACUGUAGUGUAAGACAGCUAGCUUGUGAUGUAUGCAUGGCUGAUGGAUGGAUGGGAGGUAGAGGGUCAGGAGAGGAGAAGUCAGGUAUACACUGGGGAGGGUGAUGGGAACCAAGUCAUGAGGCUUCUCUUCUGUGCUAAGGGCUUGGGGGUUUCCAAUACAAUGAAGAUUGCCCUUAAUUUAAUUUAUUUAUUUUUAUCUUUUUGCCUUUUCUAGUUCUGCUCCCAUGGCAUAUAGAGGUUUCCAGGCUAGGGGUCUAAUCACUGCUGUAGCCACUGGCCUGUACCACAGCCACAGCAAUACCAGAUCCAAGCCGUGUCUGCAACUUACACCACAGCUUAUGGCAAUGCUGGAUCCUUAACCCACUGAACAAGGCCAGGGAUCAAACCCACAACCUCCUGGUUCCUAGUCAGAUUUGUUAACCACUGAGCCACAAUGGGAAUUCCAGGAUUGCCUUUUAGAAUCUCUUCUGGGAUGAAAAUAUGGAAGAUGAAUUGAAUAAGUCUGUGACUGGAGGCAAGGAGACUGGUUAAGACACAUUUCUGUUAGUUUAGGAAAAACCCAAGAACAAGUUGAGGUAAGGCCAGGGCAGUGGGAAUACAGAGAUGAAGGCUGUUUGGACAGAGAGAAUUGAGAAAUUUUGAUGGACAAGAAUUGAGGGUGAGGGAAAGCCUGAGCCUCCAGGUAUGGGGCAAGAUAGAAGUUAGUCCCUAUUAAUAAGUGUUGGUUAGGUUGUCUGGCUUUGGGUGUGGUGAGGAGGGAGAGCUAAGACACAAUGAAGGCUCCGUUUUGAGUUGCAGAGGCAAACCUACUUCUCUCUAAUUCAAAAGAAACAAAAAAGGGGCCCUAUAGAGGCCUCUUCAUCCCCAUUCCAGAGGCUGCAUUAUGGUCCAUAGCAUCAUCUCUGAACAGGAAGGUCAGCCAAAGGAUGCAUCUUCAUGCAGAACAAGCUAAAGAACUACCAACCUAUUCUUAUAAAUCCAUGCUUGCCUGAUGUUAGAAUGAGUUCUUGGGUAAGUAAGAAAAUCUUGACCUCUCUUUCUCUUUGUUCUGUUGCUUCCCAUAAAGUGAAGCAAGAAUAGUAUGAAGGUAUUUAGUGAGGCUGAGUUGACUGAGCUCAGGUCCUCCAGGUCCUCUGUUUUGUCAUUGUCUUUGGACCUGACUUUGGUCCCAUUAUCUAAUUCAAUCUCCUCGCUUUCUUUUUUUCUUUGGACGGCACUGCCCAUUCUACCGUAUUACUCUUCUCUGUAUUCUAAGAAAAUGUGAAAGUUAGCUGUAUAAAAUAAUUAAUGGAAAGUUGCUAACUGUGUAAGAGGCUGAUGAAUGAACACAAAAUGCUUUGUAACUGCAAUAAUGAAAUGCACUAGGAAUCCAGCAAGAAACCCCUGAACAAGAUUCUCAUUUAUUCAGUCCUUUUUGUGAUUGUUGUUCAGUAUGUAUUGAGCACCUACUGUGUGCCAGGCACCAUUCUCAGUGUUUGAAACCAUCAAUCAACAAAACAGAUAAAAUUCCUUAAUCUCAUGGUGCCCACAGGUUGGGUUUACAGAGAUGAAUUUUUUAGUCAUCUCCAUACUGUCACCAGACUUCAUAAGCUUGCCAGAGUCAUGGCAAGGAUAAUGUGAUAGUCUUGAACAAGAAUAGUAUGGAGGUAUUUAGUAAUUAGCUAAUGGUAAUUGUUACUUUCAGCUCUAUUUUUCUUUCUCCUAUGGCUGGUCUGGUUUCUGCCUGCCCUGUGGACCUGUAUUGGCAUCCGUGCCUAUAUUAUUCUUCAACUGCUAUACACCUGGCUCUGCUUCCCACACGUUGAAGUGUAUCAGCAAAAUGUAAAUCCUGUCAAGGUCAGAGUACCAUUUAAUAUUGCAAAAAGUUGCUGGACUUGUCUAUUAGGGUACAGUGACCUGGUUACACCCAACUUUGCACCGCCACUUGGUGAGAUAUUUACAACAUCACAUGACCGUUUCAGAUAGAGGAACUUAAGCUGAAAGAAAUACAAAGCAGUUUGUCAGAUCCACCAGUGCAGUGGCCAUUAAUGACCUUCACCUUAGAAAGAAAUACAUGGGAUUCCGAUAGCCCCAAGCUGAGUCACACGUACCAUAAACAAUGGCCCUGUCCUUGUGACUUAUGUUCUGGACAACAAGGUGGCUCUGACUACUCCCUGGUCUCCUAGUCCAGGAAGGAGUUGUCAGAACAAGGUACUUAGUCUGUAAAUUUCUUUUUAUUUAUUUUUUUAUUAUAGGUGAUUUAUAAUGUCCUUUCAAAUUCUGCUGUACAGCAAAGUGACCCAGUCAUACACAUAUACACAUUAUUUUUCUCAUGUUAUCUUCUAUCAUGUUCUAGCAGAAGUGAUUGGAUACAGUCCCCUGUGCUAUACAGAAGGACCUCAUUGUUUAUCCAUUCUAAAUGUAAUAGUUAGCAUCUACUAACCCCAAACUCCCUGUCCAUCCCACUCCCUCCCUUUCUCCUCAGCAACCAAAAAUAUAUUCUUCAUGCCUGUGAGUCUGUUUCUGUUCUGCAGAUAGAACAUCUGAAUUUUUUUAAAGGAAUUGAAAUGCUUUCUUCUUUCUGUAUAUCAUCUCGUGGAUUAUAUCCAGUACCCCUGUGAGGUCGGCAUAAUCAUUCCUAUUUUAUAGAGGAUGACAUUGAGGCUUGGAGGAGUUACAUGACCUUUGUUCUUAGUCAUAGAACUAGAAAGUGACAGAAGCUGAAAGGAAUCUAUCCCUGAUAAUUCCAAAUCCAGUGCUUUUUGGACCAUGUUAUACUAUCUUCAAAGAGCAUUGAUAGGAAAAUAAUCUGUUAUGGAUACUGUACAUAACUGAACAUCAAAUGCACAGCCCCUUAUCACAGGAACCCAUAGACUCAUAGACAAUGGCUCCCAUUGCCAAACACUCUUAUACUGUCCCCUCUUUACACCCACAACCUAAGCUAGGUACUAGUGCUGGCAUCCCAUUUUACAGUGGUGGUUGAAAAACUAGUUUAGAACUAAUGAAGGGAGUUGCUGGAGUUAGAUUCAAUUUUUUUCUGACUCCGUAUUUAUCAAGGGUUUCUCCAAAGAUGACAUGGAUCUAUGUGCAACAACAGCAACAACAAACUAGAUCCUAUAUCCAGUGCUGAUGGAGCAGUUGAAUCCAAAGAAGAGUUGGGUUGGAGUUCCUGUUGUGGCUCAACAGAAACAAACCUGACACUGUAUCCAUGAGAGUGCAGAUUCAAUCCCUGGACUUGCUUAGUGGGUUAAGGAUCCAGGGUUGCCGUGAGCUGUGGCUUAGGUCACAGAUGCAGCUUAGAUCCCCUGUUGCUGUGGCUGUGGCAUAGGCCUGUAGCUUCAGCUCAAACUCUAUACCUAGUCCCAGGAACUUCCAUAUGCCACUGGUACAGCCCUAAAAAGAAAAAAGAAAGAAAGGAAGAAAAAAUAUUGUGGACCCCUAUGUUGCAAAUGUGCCUCAGUCCUCAUCUGAGAGGCUCUCUGGGGACACUGUCUUGCUGUCUCUGGUUUCCAUCUUGACCUGGCCCAUUGGCUUUAGCUGGAUUGAUCAUCUUGAGGCUCUUCAGUGAUGCUUACAUCUCUGAGCAAAGACUUGCUAAUCUAUCACGUCUUGUAAGAAUCCCCUCCCUCACAUGCUAAGGACUUCCAUUUGGACGCCUGACUCCCCCAUCACAGAGAGCUUGUGCCAGGUGCUCAGGAACCCCAGUGCCUGCUAUAUUUUCCUUCAGGGCAAUUGUCAUUACCUUGCAUUAAUUAUGUACUUAUUAUGUAUUUAUUUACAUUAAUUUUGUCCAUAUACCCUCCAGGUAGCAAACUCUACAAGGGGGGGGGGUGUGCUGCACCUGUGGCAUAUGGAAGUUCCCAGGCUAGGGGUAGAGUUGGAGCUGCAGCUGCUGUCCUUCACUAUAGCCACAGCAAUGCUGGAUCCAAGCUGCAUCGGCAACCUACACUGCAGCUCAUGGCAAUGCCAGAUCCUUAACCCACUGAGCAAGGCCAGGGAUCGAAACUGACACUAUGUUGGUUCUUAACCCAAUGAGCCACAAUGGGACUCCAAGAAGAGAUUUUUAUUACCUUUUUUCCCUAGUGCCUAAAACAGGGCCUGGAAUGUGCAGUAUUUACUGAGUGAAUGAAUGGAUAUUGACAGACAUGGAGAAGAUGUCUUAGGUGAACCUGUGGUGAGUUUGAGAACUUCUCAGGUUCUCUGUCUCUCAAUAUCAAAUUCCCAUCUUUUUCCAUUUCCCAAGUUUAGCAUUUCCCUGAUUCCUCUCCCGGUUCUUUUGGAGAAGUAAGCAGACCUGCUUUACACCUCUUCUUGAGGAAAAAAAAAUCAUAGCUCUUCACAGAAACCAUGAAAUUAGAUGAUGAACUCAGUGAAUACAAAGCAAACAGGCAGAGCUUGAGCCCACGAAGAAGACUUGAGUAAAAAGUAACAUUGCCCUGAAUUCAGAUGCCAGAAAACCUUGUAGUUGACUGUGUCCGCUGUGUUUUCCUGGGGCUAGCAGCCUGGGUCUGAUGGAUUAUGCCCAGUUGUAUUAAAAGUAUUGGCUUAGGGCUGAAUGAUCAUGAACAAGGUGGCUCUUUCUCCCAGAGCCCUCAGUCGACUUUCCAUCUGAGCAAACAUGAAGUCUCUUGGCUCUGGACCUUGUUUGCCUAUGGUGCAGAACAUGCUCUGUGCCUGGAGAUUGUGCUUUGGAAUUCUGAUGGGAUAUAUUUUGCCUUUGCCCCCUAUUCUCUUUCCCAUCUGGCUCCAGUUGCUUACAGAUGCUCUUAGAUUCAAUCACAACCUUGGUCAUUUUCUUGGACUUUCCUGCACACACCAUUAUUGCCAUGAGCAGGGGUUAACCACUCACUUGGCAAGCCUGAGAAAUCUAAAAACAGUUUUGGUAGGAUUCGGUCGUUUUGGUUUCUUGACCAGCUUUGGAAUAAUCACCCAAAGGGCUCUAGAAAAAGUGGCAUCACCAUGACUACUCUCAAUGGCCCAUUCUUGGCCUGGCUGGAGACCUAUAUCCUAGGCAGACUUCAUUCAGAACUUGGGGGUGAGGGUGGUUAAUCACUGAUGCUGGUGCAGGGGCUCUGCCAUAAGUGCUCCUAUCAUGGACAUUUGGGAAAAUGUCACAUCAAAAAGGACAAGAUUGCCAAGAGGAGGUCCUUUACCUUUUGUAGGACUGGUACUCCAUCUCUGAGAACCUUUAGCCCUUGUCUUGUCAGCAUCCUAAGCCUAUUUUCUCAUAACCUCCUUCAUAGCCACCUUUACCCAGCAUCCUGGUUCCCCUUUGGACUGCCUAGCUCCCUGUGUGAAACGAAUCCAUUGGUUAACAGAGUUGAUUAUCACAAUUUCCACCAUUCAGACUGAAUCUUGGGUGUCUGGGUAUUCUGCCUUCCUUGGUAGGUCCUUUGAUGUGUCUCUGUUGCCAAGUUCACUUCAAUUUGAAGCUUCAGCAUCCAGGGAACUCGGACAUUUAAAUGGAUUUACUCAGUGUCCAGCAGGAAAAAAAAAUCAAACAAACAAACAAAAAAACCUAGCUACAUGUUGUAUGUGAUUUCUCCUGGCUGAGUUUGGGUCAUUUGGGACCAGUGUUAAAAUACAAACAAGUAAGAGUUAACCCUUGAACAAUAUGUGGGUUAGGGAUGCACAUCCUCUGUGCAAUUGAAAAUCUGCACAUAACUUAUAGUCAGUCCUCAAUAUCUGUGGUUCCUUUGUCUCCUUGGUCCCUUCAUAUUCCUGAUUCACAUAUGAAGAUUAAACUGACAUCAAACUGUGCAGUACUGGAGCAUUUAUUCACAGGAAAAAAACAUCCAUGUGUGAGUUCUCUUGUGGUACAAUGAGUUAAGGAUCUGGUAUUGUCACUGCAGCAGCUUGGGUUGCUUCUGUGUAACAGGUCUGAUAUCCUUGGCCUGGGAACUGCCACAUGCCACUGGCAAGGCAAAAAAAGGUAGUUGACAAUACAUUUGAUUCC
rnacentral:lncRNA from 1 species